GACGUAGGGCGCGAGCGUUGUCCGGAUUUAUUGGGCGUAAAGAGCUCGUAGGCGGCUUGUCGCGUCGUCCGUGAAAACUUGGGGCUCAACCCCAAGCUUGCGGUCGAUACGGGCAGGCUAGAGUUCGGUAGGGGAGACUGGAAUUCCUGGUGUAGCGGUGAAAUGCGCAGAUAUCAGGAGGAACACCGGUGGCGAAGGCAGGUCACUGGGCCGCAACUGACGCUGAGGAGCGAAAGCAUGGGGAGCGAACAGG
rnacentral:rRNA from 1 species